rnacentral:lncRNA from 1 species
CUCUUUUGUCAUCGAUGGUGGAGAGGUGUAGGUCUGGCAGAUCCAUGCCCUUCCAGCAUGGCGGACUGCAGGUUGCCCGUCCCCCAUCACUUGGCUCUCUUCUCUGCUCCUAGGCAAUGUGCUGGCCUUCCUUCCCUCAGGUGGCUUCUCUCCUUUGGCUGCUGCAGAAACCUUUUCUGUUUUCUUGUCAUAUUGCAGCUACCAGGACUGGACUACUCUUUCUCCUUGCUCUCUCCUUCCCUUUGUCUUGGGGACAGCACCAGCAUCAGAGGCUGCAGGCUUCACGCUACUCCCUGCUCUGAGGAAUCCACCAUUCUUCCACUUUGGACGGAGGUGCUGAACCCUCUUCAUCCUGUGUUAGAGUGCUUCAAAGAGCAAUACAAGACACUGGCCAGAGUCCUGUGACACUACGUGACACAAGCUGCCCGUGCAGGCUGUCCACAUGGAAGGAAGUGGGCAGGAGCCAGCCCUGAGGACCACCCUGCAGCUUCUGAGUGAGCUGAGCAUCUGUUCCCCGGAUGCCAGUGCACAAGUGCAGGACGCCAGGGCACAGCUGAACCGUUUGCUGCAGGAACUGAAGGGCUUGGUCCCUGAGAAAGACCUGGAGUUCUGCAGGCUUGUCAGCCAGGCGGUGGAACUUUCCUCCCAGGCCAGUAAAGCUGCAGCUCUGACAAACCAGGAAGUCUGGGAAAAGGCACAGGGCACCCUCACCUGUAGCCAGUGGUACUUCAACCCAAGAUGCCCACCGAGGACCAUAGACCCCUCCCAGGACAGGAUGAAUUACAGCAGGCCUGACCCUUGAUUGCCUCAGGCAGACUGCCCAUCCGGCCACUUGAAAACAGUGACAGCAAGUGAGAAAAGAGGGUGAUGAAUGAAAUAAGACUGGAAAGCAAGCUGGAGAGAUGGCUCCGUGGUUAAGAACUCUGUCUACUCUUCCAGAGGACCCAGCUUCAAUUCUCAGCACCCAUGUGGCAGCUCACCAAAUGUCUCCCUCUCCGGAGGAUUCGACACUCUCAGCACAGACGUUCACGCAUACAUACAGGCCACAAGCAUCAGUACACAUGGAAUAAAGAAAGAUUUUUAAACAACUGAAGACAUAUCGAAGUUGAGUGUUGGAUAUGUGAAAGAAUGUAAGUUUCCUUUCUGUUUUUGUGUUUAAUUCAAAAAUUUUAAAUUAAACAUUAUUUUAAAAACA